CCCUUAGAUGUUCUGGGCUGCACGCGUGCUACAAUGGCGCUUGCAACAAGUCUUGCCAACCCGAUAGGGUGAGCGGAUCUUUGAAGAGGCGUCGUGAUCGGGACAGUUGAUUGCAAUUAUUCGACUCGAACGAGGAAUUCCUUGUAAUCGCGAUUCAUCAUAUCGCGCUGAAUACGUCCCUGCCCUUUGUACACACCGCCCGUCGCUCCUACCGAUUGAGCGAUCCGGUGAAUGUUUUGGACUGGUGUCCGCAAGCGUUUCGCUUCGGACGCUACGAAAUUUUGUAAACCUUAUCGCUUAGAGGAAGGAAAAGUCGUAACA
rnacentral:rRNA from 1 species